AGCUGUAUGGCCGAGAGGUUAAGGCGGUGGACUUAAGAUCCACUCCCGUGCGGGAUCGUGGGUUCGAACCCCACUGCAGCUA
rnacentral:tRNA from 1 species